rnacentral:rRNA from 1 species
AACGAACGCUGGCGGCAUGCCUAACACAUGCAAGUCGAACGAAACCUUCGGGUCUAGUGGCGCACGGGUGCGUAACGCGUGGGAACCUGCCCUUAGGAUCGGAAUCACUCCCCGAAAGGGGUGCUAAUACCGGAUAAUGUUUUCGGACCAAAGAUUUAUCGCCGUUGGAUGGGCCCGCGUUGGAUUAGCUAGUUGGUAGGGUAAAAGCCUACCAAGGCGACGAUCCAUAGCUGGUCUGAGAGGAUGAUCAGCAACACUGGGACUGAGACACGGCCCAGACUCCUACGGGAGGCAGCAGUAGGGAAUAUUGGAGAAUGGGCGAAAGGCUGAUCCAGCAAUGCCGCGUGAGUGAUGAAGGCCUUAGGGUUGUAAAGCUCUUUUACCCGGGAUGAUAAUGACAGUACCGGGAGAAUAAGCGCCGGCUAACUCCGUG